rnacentral:rRNA from 1 species
GACGUAGGAGGCAAGCGUUAUCCGGAGUUACUGGGCGUAAAGAGUGCGUAGGCGGACUGGUAAGUAGUUCGUGAAAUUGCUCGGCUAAACCGGGCGACGGCGAGCUAGACUGCUAGUCUAGAGGCAGGUAGAGGGGUGCGGAAUUCCGGGUGUAGCGGUGAAAUGUGUAGAUAUCCGGAGGAACACCAGAGGUGCAGACGGCGCCCUGGGCCUGACCUGACGCUGAGGCACGAAAGCUUGGGGAGCGAACGGG